rnacentral:rRNA from 1 species
GACGAACGCUGGCGGCGUGCCUAACACAUGCAAGUCGAGCGGGGUCCAACCGGUGGCAACACCGGGGAAGGCCUAGCGGCGAACGGGUGAGGAACACGUGAGGAACCUGCCCCGAAGUCUGGGAUAACACCAGGAAACCGGUGCUAACACCGGAUGUCCUCUUCUUGGCGCAUGCCAGGAAGAGGAAAGGUUACGCUUCGGGAGGGUCUCGCGGCCUAUCAGCUUGUUGGCGGGGUAACGCCCACCAAGGCACGACGGGUAGCUGGUCUGAGAGGACGACCAGCCACACUGGGGACUGAGACACGGCCCAGACUCCUACGGGAGGCAGCAGUGGGGAAUCUUGCGCAAUGGGCGAAAGCCUGACGCAGCAACGCCGCGUGCGGGACGAAGGCCUCGGUU